ensembl:lncRNA novel transcript
CAUCAACCACCAAUUCCCUGUACUCUCCUAUUUUUCACAUUUUAAUCUGUGCAAUUAUCUUUGUGUUAUUCUCUCUCCUAGACUCUGUUUAUGGAAGCAGAAGCUGUACCUUUUAUCUCUUUGUAUUCAAAGCCUUUAGCUCUAGUGUCCAGCACUUAAUAUGCCGGAAAACAGGCAUUAUUUUGAGAGUCUCCUAUCACGCAUCCACUGUACCAGCAUGAAUUAUUUUAUUUCAGUAUCUUGAAAUCCCAUCGAUUUGCUUUAGCCCCAACAUGCAAAGGGAGAAUUUGAGCAAAAAGACUUCAAGGCAUCUUGCAGAGGUGGUAGGCCUCUAUAUAAGACUUUAAACUCCUACAGAUGUGGAUUUGGAUCAGCAUGAUCUGAUUAUUCUGGCUAUUGACUCCUCAUCGGUCUACAUGGUGGCCAUACAUUCUGGAUAUAGUCCACAUGGCGUAGUGGGCAAGUAUUUUCAGCGACGGUACUGUGUUUAUGGAGGCCGCUGCAGAUGUGAACACAGCAAGCCACUGAAACGAACAAGCAACUGCUACAGAUCUAACUACAAAAUCAUCCCUUGCUGCUUCCUUAAGUCUCUCAUUCAUAGUUGGACCGCUUGUGGAAAUGAAUACAGGCGAAGCUGAGUCAGACUCAAACUUUGCAACUGUAGGAGUGGGUUCAGAGGACUGGGUAGAUGCUGUUGAGUUUGUUCCUGGGCAACUCUACUGCAGCGUACACUGCCCCUUUCUGCAGUGACCAAGGGAGAAUCAGAGAAAGAGCAAACAGCUGUGAUAACAAGCUGCUUUGCCCCUAGGCUGCAGUGGGAGAGAUGGAAAUGGGUAGAACUGUGUGUAUCUCCACAGAGAGUCAUGUGAUCAUGUAAGCUGCAGGUCCUACCUCCAAUGGAUGCUGCCCAGAGACCACAGCAUAUAAAAAUCUUGUCCUGAGGCCCAUGAGAAGGAAACGGAGCUCUCAUUUGCUGUGCAGUGCAGCAAGGAUACGAUGUGUGGGAUCUGCAUGGAGGUGGUCUGUGAGAAAGCCAGCCCCAGUGAGCGUGGCUUUGGGAUCCUCUCCAGCUGCAGCCACGCCUACUGUCUCAAGUAUAUUCACAAGUGGAAGGGCACUAAGCUAUUUGAGAGCAAGAUCAUAGUGUCCUACCCAGAAUGCCGGAUCACAUCUAACUUUGUCAUUCCCAGUGAGUACCAGGCGGGAGAAAGAAGAGAAGCAGAAACUCAUCCAGAAAGUCAAGGAGGCAAUGAGCAGCCAGGCGUGCAGGGAUUUUGAUGAAGGACAGGGGAGCUGCCCAUCUUGGGGGAUGUGUUUUUACAAGCAGGUAUUCCCUGAUGGCCAUAGAAAGGAUACACAGAGACAGGCAAACAGAUACUGGGCCCAGUGAAGGAACCACUUCUCGGAGCUCAUUGAGGAAAGAGAGAACAAUGACCCCUUUGACAACAAUGAAGAAGAGGUUGUCACCUUUGAGCUGGGUGAGAUGUUGCUUAUGCUUUUGGCAGAUGGGGACGAUGAACUGACAGACUUUGAAAAUGAGUGGGACUUGUUCCAUGAUGAUCUGGAAGAUUUUUAUGACUUGGCUCAGUAGCCACCUUGCGUGGCAUGUGAACUGGCCUGCUGACCUCAGACAGCAGCAGUCCCCUGUGGUGGUGUGACAGUGCCCAUGUUUCUCUCCUAGGCAGGCCUAUCAACUCCAGGUGCUGUCUUAAUAAUUUUUACCUAGGGCCUGUCUUCUCAAUCUGUGACCUUUCCCCAAGGAGUG